UGGGGGAUAUUGCACAAUGGGGGAAACCCUGAUGCAGCGACGCCGCGUGGAGGAAGAAGGUUUUCGGAUUGUAAACUCCUGUCGUUAGGGACGAUAAUGACGGUACCUAACAAGAAAGCACCGGCUAACUACGUGCCAGCAGCCGCGGUAAAACGUAGGGUGCAAGCGUUGUCCGGAAUUACUGGGUGUAAAGGGAGCGCAGGCGGGAAGACAAGUUGGAAGUGAAAACCAUGGGCUCAACCCAUGAAUUGCUUUCAAAACUGUUUUUCUUGAGUAGUGCAGAGGUAGAUGGAAUUCCCGGUGUAGCGGUGGAAUGCGUAGAUAUCGGGAGGAACACCAGUGGCGAAGGCGGUCUACUGGGCACCAACUGACGCUGAGGCUCGAAAGCAUGGGUAGCAAACAGGAUUAGAUACCCUGGUAGUCCAUGCCGUAAACGAUGAUUACUAGGUGUUGGGGGAUUGACCCCCUCAGUGCCGCAGUUAACACAAUAAGUAAUCCACCUGGGGAGUACGACCGCAAGGUUGAAACUCAAAGGAAUUGACGGGGGCCCGCACAAGCAGUGGAGUAUGUGGUUUAAUUCGAAGCAACGCGAAGAACCUUACCAGGUCUUGACAUCCGAUGCAUAACACAGAGAUGUGUGAAAUCCUUCGGGACAUCGAGACAGGUGGUGCAUGGUUGUCGUCAGCUCGUGUCGUGAGAUGUUGGGUUAAGUCCCGCAACGAGCGCAACCCUUAUUGCCAGUUACUACGUUAAGAGGACUCUGGCGAGACUGCCGUUGACAAAACGGAGGAAGGUGGGGAUGACGUCAAAUCAUCAUGCCCUUUAUGACCUGGGCUACACACGUACUACAAUGGCGUUAAACAAAGAGAAGCAAGACCGCGAGGUGGAGCAAAACUCAAAAACAACGUCUCAGUUCAGAUUGCAGGCUGCAACUCGCCUGCAUGAAGUCGGAAUUGCUAGUAAUCGCGGAUCAGCAUGCCGCGGUGAAUACGUUCCC
rnacentral:rRNA from 1 species